rnacentral:rRNA from 1 species
UACGUAGGGCGCGAGCGUUGUCCGGAUUCAUUGGGCGUAAAGAGCUCGUAGGCGGCUUGGUAAGUCGGGUGUGAAACCUCCAGGCUCAACCUGGAGACGCCACUCGAUACUGCCAUGGCUAGAGUCCGGUAGGGGCCCACGGAAUUCCUGGUGUAGCGGUGAAAUGCGCAGAUAUCAGGAGGAACACCGGUGGCGAAGGCGGUGGGCUGGGCCGGUACUGACGCUGAGGAGCGAAAGCGUGGGGAGCGAACAGG